GUUUUCAGUUAUGUAUGAGCAACCUGAAGGCUCAGGCACGAAUAAAGGAAAAAGGAAAGCUGAUCGAAUAAGUGUGUAUUAUGAGUUAAUGGUUAUAGUUGUAUUGGUAUCUGUUCAAGUAUUGUAAGGAAUGUAUUUGAAGGUCACGCACCUGGGGAAGUAAACUUUGAUGUAUGUAAAUUAAGUUCGAAUGUAUUAUUAUUUAGUAUUAUUCAGCUUAAAGAAAUUGUAUCGUGGAG
rnacentral:lncRNA from 1 species